rnacentral:rRNA from 1 species
GAUUAACGCUGGCGGCGUGCAUGAGACAUGCAAGUCGAACGGACACUCAGGGCUUGCUCUGAGUGUUAGUGGCGGACGGCUGAGUAACGCGUAGGUGACCUGCCCCGAAGUGGGGAAUAACUGCCCGAAAGGGUGGCUAAUACCGCAUGUGGUGAUGCGUUCAUUCGCAUCAGUAAAGCCGCAAGGCGCUUCGGGAGGGGCCUGCGUCCGAUUAGCUCGUUGGUGAGGUAACGGCUCACCAAGGCGACGAUCGGUAGGUGGUCUGAGAGGACGAUCACCCAGACUGGGACUGAGACACGGCCCAGACUCCUACGGGUGGCAG